CCUGGCGGCAAUAGCGCGGUGGUCCCACCUGACCCCAUGCCGAACUCAGAAGUGAAACGCCGUAGCGCCGAUGGUAGUGUGGGGUCUCCCCAUGUGAGAGUAGGGAACUGCCAGGC
rfam:Raoultella ornithinolytica strain S12, complete genome.